ensembl:misc_RNA 7SK 7SK RNA
GGAUGUGCGGGCGAUCUGGCUGUGACAUCUGUCACCCCACUGAUCGCCAGGGUUGAUUCAGCUGAUCUGGCUGGCUAGGCGGGUGUCCCCUUCCUCCCUCACCGCUCCAUGUGCGGCCCUCCCGAAGCUGCGCGCUCAGUCAAAGAGGACGGCCUUCCCCGAAUAGAGACGGACUGGUCCCCUGCGAGAACCUCCAAACAAGCUCUCAAGAAUAGCCCAAUAGCCUAAAGAACCAUUUACGAGCUGUGUUUUCUCUGGGGAUGAAUUCUUAUGAGAAGGAAUUUCAUUACUC